UACGAAGGGUGCAAACGUUGCUCGGAAUUAUUGGGCGUAAAGCGCACGUAGGCGGCUUAGCAAGUCGGAUGUGAAAUCCCUCGGCUCAACCAAGGAAGUGCUUUCGAAACUGCUGAGCUUGAGUACUAAAGAGGAUCGCGGAAUUCCCGGUGUAGAGGUGAAAUUCGUAGAUAUCGGGAGGAACACCAGUGGCGAAGGCGGCGAUCUGGGUAGAUACUGACGCUGAGGUGCGAAAGCGUGGGGAGCAAACAGG
rnacentral:rRNA from 1 species